GUUUGACCUUCACUACCCUGCUGGAGUGCACUACAAUUUUAUCUGGGUUUUUUUUUCUGCUUUUCCUCCUUGGAUGAUAAUGAAAGUGAAGCAGUUUGCCUGUCCAGCCUCAGUUCUGCACAGUUUUGGUGCCUUCCUGCCAUCCAGUCUCCUGCUGAGGUCAAUAUCCCUGUCCCUGUGCCUUCGAAUCUCCAUUUUUUUGUCCUGACUUCUGGCUUUGACAAGUAGCAUCCAUUCUUCUCUGUCUGCAAAAGAGCUGAGGGACAUCCCACAGUGCCAGAGUGUGGCACACAGGAUUUCAGUUCAGGACAUCUUUACCAGUCUCCUGCCAGAAUCACAGAAUGACCAGGUUGGAAGAGACCUUCAAGAUCAUGGAGUCCAACCCAGCCCCAACACCUCAACUAAACCCUGGCACCCAGUGCCACAUCCAGGCUUUGUUAAAUACACCCAGGGAUGGGGACUGCACCACCUCCCCAGGCAGACCCCUCCAUUCUAAGAGCUUCUGGUCUCAAGGCUGACAGAGAAAAGCCAGAAGCUGCUUUUGCUUUGAUUUGAACCAGCCAGUGGAAAUUAGGAACCAUAUGGUAAAGUUUGAGCAAGAAAGGGCAGGAUUAAUAGAAGCAGACCUUACACCUUGGUCUUUUGGAGGUUCUUCCCAAAUCCAUUGUUUAUAUUUUCUCAGAUGGUCUUUUGACUGAUUUAUGGAACUGUAAUUCUGAAAUGAACAGGGAAUAGUCUUAUGUUCAAGCUAAAACUAUUUGCAUGUGCUUAACUGCAACCUUCCAUGUACUAAACUCUGUAUCAUUGUUUUCAAACAGUCCUUUCUACACCUCUG